UCAAAUUUGAAAUCUGGCGUCUUUGGCGUCCGAGUUGUAAUUUGAAGAAGGUAUCUUUGGGCCCGGCUCUUGUCUAUGUUCCUUGGAACAGGACGUCACAGAGGGUGAGAAUCCCGUGCGAUGAGAUGACCCGGGUCUGUGUAAAGUUCCUUCGACGAGUCGAGUUGUUUGGGAAUGCAGCUCUAAGUGGGUGGUAAAUUCCAUCUAAAGCUAAAUAUUGGCGAGAGACCGAUAGCGAACAAGUACAGUGAUGGAAAGAUGAAAAGAACUUUGAAAAGAGAGUGAAAAAGUACGUGAAAUUGUUGAAAGGGAAGGGCUUGAGAUCAGACUUGGUAUUUUGCAUGUUGCUCUCUCGGGGGCGGCCGCUGCGGUUUACCGGGCCAGCAUCGGUUUGGAGCGGCAGGAUAAUGGCGGAGGAAUGUGGCACGGCUUCUGCUGUGUGUUAUAGCCUCUGACGAUACUGCCAGCCUAGACCGAGGACUGCGG
rnacentral:rRNA from 1 species